GUUAUGUUCUUUAAAUUUAAAAAAUUUGGCGGUAUUUUAGUCUUAUUAGAGGAACCUGUUUUUUAAUUGAUAAUCCACGAUUAAUUUUACUUAUUUUAUUUUAAUUCAUAUAUCGCUGUCAUGAAUAUAUUUAAAAAUUAAUUUUCUUUAUUUAUUAUUGUAAUUUAUGUUAAGUCAAGAUGUGGUUUAUAAAUAAGUGUAUAAUGGGUUACAUUAAAUUUUAUUUAUGGAUUUUAAAUGAAAAUUAGAAUGAAAUUGGAUUUAAUAGUAAAUUUAUUUAUUUAAUUAAUAUGAAGAAAGAUCUAAAAUAUGUACAUAUUGCCCGUCAUUCUUAUUAAAAAUAAGACAAGUCGUAACAAAGUAAAUGUACUGGAAAGUGUAUUUAGAAAGAUUAUAUUAUAUAUAAA
rnacentral:rRNA from 1 species